AACGCACAUUGCGCCUAUUAGUAUUCUAGUAGGCAUGCCUGUCCGAGCGUCAUUUCGACCCCCAGGCCCUGGCAGCCUGGUGUUGGGGCGCUAUAGCCAUGCGCUGCAGCCCCCGAAAUCCAGUGGCGGACCCGACGAGGACCCGAGCGCAGUAGCACCCCUCUCGCUCAGGGCGCCCCGGAGGGACUCCUGCCGUAAAACCCCCACUGUAACAAGGUUGACCUCGGAUCAGGUAGGAAUACCCGCUGAACUUAA
rnacentral:misc_RNA from 1 species